ACUGUGAUGGCUGAGUGGUGAAGGUGUUGGACUAGAAAUCCACCAGGGUUUCCCUGCACAGGUUCAAACCUGCUCACAGCG
rnacentral:tRNA from 1 species